CAGCCGCCGCGGUAAUACGGAGGGUGCAAGCGUUAAUCGGAAUUACUGGGCGUAAAGCGCACGCAGGCGGUUUGUUAAGUCAGAUGUGAAAUCCCCGGGCUCAACCUGGGAACUGCAUCUGAUACUGGCAAGCUUGAGUCUCGUAGAGGGGGGUAGAAUUCCAGGUGUAGCGGUGAAAUGCGUAGAGAUCUGGAGGAAUACCGGUGGCGAAGGCGGCCCCCUGGACGAAGACUGACGCUCAGGUGCGAAAGCGUGGGGAGCAAACAGGAUUAGAUACCCUGGUAGUCCACGCCGUAAACGAUGUCGACUUGGAG
rnacentral:rRNA from 1 species